AAAAAAAAGAGUUUGAUCCUGGCUCAGAAUCAACGCUGGCGGCGUGCCUCAGACAUGCAAGUCGAACGAUUAAAGCUCCCUUCGGGGAGUGCAUAAAGUGGCGCACGGGUGAGUAACACGUAAGUAAUCUACCUUCGAGUGGGGAAUAACAGUCGGAAACGGCUGCUAAUACCGCAUAAUGCAGCGGCAUCGCAAGAUGACAGUUGUUAAAGAUUUAUCGCUUGAAGAGGAGCUUGCGGCAGAUUAGCUAGUUGGUAAGGUAAUGGCUUACCAAGGCUACGAUCUGUAACCGGUCUAAGAGGACGGUCGGUCACACUGACACUGAAUAACGGGUCAGACUCCUACGGGAGGCAGCAGUCGGGAAUUUUGGGCAAUGGGGGAAACCCUGACCCAGCAACGCCGCGUGAAGGAUGAAGUAUUUCGGUAUGUAAACUUCGAAAGAAUAGGAAGAAUUAAUGACGGUACUAUUUAUAAGGUCCGGCUAACUACGUGCCAGCAGCCGCUGUAAC
rnacentral:rRNA from 1 species